CAAUAGCGUAUAUUAAAGUUGUUGCAGUUAAAAAGCUCGUAGUUGGAUUUCUGGGAGGGUGCCGCCGUCCGGCGUGUCCGUGUGCAGUGGCGCCCUUCCAUCCUUCUGUUAGCGUCUCUUGGCAUUCAUUUGCUGGUGGCGGGCUCAGAUAUUUUACCUUGAGAAAAUUAGAGUGUUUCAGGCAGGCUAGGCCGAAUACAUUAGCAUGGAAUAAUGGAAUAGGACUACGGUCUCUUUGUUGGUUUGAGGGACUGCAGUAAUGAUUAAUAGGGAUAGUUGGGGGCAUUAGUAUUUAAUUGUCAGAGGUGGAAUUCUCAGAUUUGUUAAAGACUAACUUAUGCGAAAGCAUUUGCCAAGGAUGUUUUCAUUAA
rnacentral:rRNA from 1 species